rnacentral:rRNA from 1 species
AUUGAACGCUGGCGGCAUGCUUUACACAUGCAAGUCGAACGGUAACAGGCCGCAAGGUGCUGACGAGUGGCGAACGGGUGAGUAAUGCAUCGGAACGUGCCCAGUCGUGGGGGAUAACGCAGCGAAAGCUGCGCUAAUACCGCAUACGAUCUCUGGAUGAAAGCGGGGGACCGAAAGGCCUCGCGCGAUUGGAGCGGCCGAUGUCAGAUUAGGUAGUUGGUGGGGUAAAGGCCCACCAAGCCAACGAUCCGUAGCUGGUCUGAGAGGACGACCAGCCACACUGGGCAUGAGACACGGCCCAGACUCCUAGGGGAGGCAGCAGUGGGGAAUUUUGGACAAUGGGCGCAAGCCUGAUCCAGCAAUGCCGCGUGCAGGAAGAAGGCCUUCGGGUUGUAAACUGCUUUUGUACGGAACGAAACGGUCCGGGCUAAUACCCUGGGCUAAUGACGGUACCGUAAGAAUAAGCACCGGCUAACUACGUGCCAGCCGCCGCCGUAA